AGUACCGUUAGGUACGAAACACUUGAUACCGCUGCCAAAACCAGACAACAUAACAAAUCGUUAUCUGCAACGUAUCCGAAAACCAAACCAGAGACUUGACUUUCUGAUGUUUAUCAUACAUUGAAACAUUAACGAACUUUAUCCUGGAAGUUAACUUUUUAAAAUUUUUAUACGUUCUCUUAAUAGUAUUCAUCUUUAAAGGGGGUUGUUGAGUAUAUAAUCCGGAAAUGUGCGUGUCCGUUUGUCAUGCAUACUGCCAUAGUAAUUGAUGUUUUCUACGUCAUAAUUAUGUGUAAUCUUUUGUGUGUAGUUCGAAUGAAUGGAGUAGCCUAA